UGAUUUUUCUCAAGAGAGAGCCGUACAUAUGGCCGCCGAAGAGGCAAGCCGGACAGAUGAGGGUGAACAUCUGGCGGGUGAAACUUUCAGGCAAAAGGACUGGGAAAAGGAC
rfam:Clostridium hylemonae DSM 15053 genomic scaffold Scfld_02_0, whole genome shotgun sequence.